AAUGAUCAUUUUAAGGUAAAAUUAUCAGUGUUUAAAUUAAAUGAUGAAAUGAGGAAGUACUGCAGAGAGUAAAGAAAUUAGAGGGGUUAAAGUGGGAGGUGGGUGUCAUUUUGGAGACUUGGGUUAAUUUGCUGCGGAUCACUGUAAGUUGUAAACAAGUUCAAUUUUGACCUACAAACGCCAUGGGACCAUAUAUAUUUCUUGUGAUUUUGUGUCAGUGCUUGGAAUGAACUUUCAGAAUUUACCAAGGAUAUGUCUGUAAGUAAUAUAGCAAAGUAGCUAGGGGUGUUUAGGUUAACAUUGAGUUCUAUGGGAAAUUAAUUGGUACUCUUUUUCCUAUAGAGAGCCUAUUUUCCCCUUGUCGUGUGACUUUUAAAGGAUAAAUAGUUCAAUAGGACGUUUAGUUCUGUUGAUAUUUGAUCAUGGAAGAUUUCUUUGAACAGUUGAGGCUUAGAAUUUUGGGAAAAAGUGAAAUUCAGGGGGGACCAAUGGGGUGUUUUGUAUGGAAAGGCGCCACCACUGCCCAUGGGUAUGGAGUGUUAAGAGUGAGAUGGCCAGAGGAGGGACCAAAGUUUGAGAGGGUUCAUAGGGCUAUUCUUAUGGCACAGAUGCGCUUGACCCGAUCACAGUUUCCAGGUGGAAACCUGGAGGUCAGCCAUCUGUGCCAUAAGAAGCUUUGCGUCAACGCCGCCCACCUCGUCCUGGAGACGCAUGAAGUGAACCAGGAGAGAAACCACUGUAAAGCACAGGGGUUCUGUUGCAGGGCCCACCAUCCCCACUGCAUUCUACCAUAGACUUGUCCACCGAGCCUCCACUGGGGAUGGCACAACCCACACCUGCACAUAAGCUGCGGAUGGAGUCACCUGGCCCAUUAUUUGAAGAGUGAGCAACACUAUGAGCCCUACCCGCAAAGUUGCGAGUAAAGGUGACAUUACGAGGUAAAGAUCGCCGAAGAGUGCGAUUGAAGCUUUCGACCUUCUGAGAGUUGCUGUUCUUGAUAGUUUUGUCCAGAACAGCUGGAGACAACCUCUUUGAGAUGCAAGCACGAAGCAAGUUCUCGUUCUCCGAAGAGUGAGAUUUCCUGAUACUUUCGGAAAGAUGCCGAGUAUCCAGGUAAUGCACUGGCUUGACCUUGUACAGCCCAUCCUUGAAGAGGGAGUCUGCAGCCCGCCCAGCUGAGCUGUCUGGAUCAGUUGUUACCCCCUUAACCUCGAUACCGUCUUCACAGAGAAGUUCGGCCAUCCCCUCCCUAGCCCAUGUAAACUCAUCCCCUAUAGUAUGCUGCAUGGGGAGGUUAGCGCCGCACUCCCCCGGACUACAAGAAUGGUUAGCAGAUGCCGCAUCCCGGACUUACGGGAGGGAGCAGGAGUGUUAGUGGAAAGCAGUAUUUUCCUCAUUCCAUCAUUACCAAGGGGUGUUUGGCUCAGCCCGACCUGAAGGGAGUAAUUAAGAGAAGCUGGUUUUCUGCCGGGUGCACUGGUCUCUACUUCUGUGAAGAGGUUGGGUCUCUUAGAUGUGAAGAGACACACGCCGCAUUUGAGCCCCAUCCUUGUGGCAAGCCCUCGCCUUUCCUCGGUGACCAGGUUCCAGGUCAGGGAUCCAUUGCAGCCUAGAUUCUGCUCCUGAUGGCUCCGAAAGGCUUGGUUCCACAAUGCACGGGUCUUCCCCAAGUGCAGUAAUCUGUUAGAAUCUGUCUCCGCUCUACAAUAAUUGUAACUGAUGUUUACAUAGUGUGUAACUGUGUGUGUUGUGAAGAUGGGGAAAAUUUAUUUUAGAGUUACCCCCUUUAACUAGUUGUAAAUUUUGUAGAUUUUUGAAAAUAAUGUAAUUUUUCAUAAACUGCUUUGAAACCAAUUUUUCUGAUACACGUGAGGUGAAUGAUUUAUAAAUACAUGUUUUAUCACCCCAGAUUACAUGUACUGACAUGUAGCCCCAUGUGAAACCUGAAAAAAUGGACCUUCUGUCCGAGAGCCCCAUUUUAUUGGCCAUAAAGGGUUCUAAUUUGUAAAAAAAAUGAUAAUUUCACAAAAGUUUAUGUAAAAUUGUGAUUUCUAUUCAUUUUAGCCGACAAAUGAUGACUUACUGCUCAAAGUUCUGGUCUUGAUGAUUUUCCACUUCACUUUUACAGGCAUCCCCCUUGGUCUCAGGAGAUGGUAGUUUCCCGGACGCUGGACCAUUUCCUCCCUCGCUGAUGCAGAUGGGGGUUGUUGACCAGAUCUGUCAUCUCAGAAGACAACCUUUUAUAUGUAGCUGACAUCAAAAAGCAGUUUAUUCAUUCUGGAUUUCACUGUUAGUCCACUCUCAUCACAGCAUUUGCCGAGGGAGAGAGCCUCGUACUCGGAUGAGCACAGCAUACAUGUCUCUGAAGAUCCAGGACUCAUGUUUCACACACAAUAAGAGGUAUGUAUAAGGUUCAUGAAAAACACAAAUUUGCCUAAUUCUGAGGUGAGUAAAAUUAUGAUUAUAGGAAUGAGAGUACCAAUGCACCGGAUGUUGACAUCAGUGUUAAUACAAGAUUGAGCCGAGCAGAAAAAGGUAGGGCUUAGGUGAUUGGCUGAAUAAGUUGUUGAAAUAAUGAUCAUUUUAAGGUAAAAUUAUCAGUGUUUAAAUUAAUGAUGAAAUGAGGAAGUACUGCAGAGAGUAAAGAAAUUAGAGGGGUUAAAGUGGGAGGUGGGUGUCAUUUUAGAGACUUGGGUUAAUUUGCUGCGGAUCACUGUAAGUUGUAAACAAGUUCAAUUUUGACCUACAAACGCCAUGGGACCAUAUAUAUUUCUUGUGAUUUUGUGUCAGUGCUUGGAAUGAACUUUCAGAAUUUACCAAGGAUAUGUCUGUAACUAAUAUAGCAAAGUAGCUAGGGGUGUUUAGGUUAACAUUGAGUUCUAUGGGAAAUUAAUUGGUACUCUUUUCAUAUAAGCACAGGAACCAGGCUACAUCAUGCGUAGGCUGAAUUUUCCCUAUAGCAUCCGCUUUAACCUCGCUUAUAUAUUUUCUGCGUGGACCUCAGGGUCCACGCAAUAAAGUCAACAGUCAGUCAGAGUUUAUUGAAUUCGUGAACAGCAUAGAACUAUAUCCUUUACUGUAACUGUUUCUGAACUCAAUUCAACUCGUGGGCAAUAUGUUUUCUUUCCUGUGAACUUAUAUGUGUGAAAAAUAAUAAUGUGUCAAUGAAAGUAUCUUGGAUAAUACGAUAUUUUUCCAUUUUAUCAAUUUCAACUGUAUAUUUUUCACAGGUUUGUGUAUUUUAAUUAACAAUCAUUUAAAAGUGAUGGAAGCAAUAACUUGGGACAGACUAUAAAUGAGAAAUUAGCUUAUGAAGCGAGGCGAUAUCCAAGAUGGCGCCCACCCUUGUUAGUUUUCCUACGAGUUACCCACAUUUGAAGCGAUGUUUGUUUUUCUACACCAGUCCGGUGAUAUACAAGGUAGAUUGACUUGUCACGAAUCAGGCAUCUUCUCGGCAGCAUUUUUGUGAAUAAUUAUAUUUUUUCGAAAAAAGAAGAAGAAAUUUCUCGAUUUUACUAUCGCCACAAAUAAACAGAUACAUCUUUUUUUGUCCGACGUGUUAAAAUAUUGCAAUGUUCAAGUAUGGCAAGAAAAUUAACUCUUAUAAUUAACUAAGGGGUUACGUCUCUUUCUAUAUGACUGUAGAUAUGACGAAAUGGAUUUUCUGCUAGCAGAUUAAAGCAAACAACGCUCGUUAUUAAUUUUCAAUUUUAAAUUAUUGUAAGGUGGGAUUGUUAUUCUGGACAUUUUCAUUAUUAAGUGUGGAUUUUUCCGUUUAGAUUCGGGUAUGUUUAUUUUUCGGCGCUCGUUACCGUCACCAACGCCAGCAUGGAUAUAUCGUGCCAGUACCUACCUUAACUCGAAACCUCGUCUCCGACAUCGGAGUGUUCCGCAGAGUGCAAGUGUAAAUGCAAGCUAUAGCAAGUCAUUAGAAUUUAGUCAUGUUUUGAUUAUAUCAACAUCGAAGAUUUUUUGAUAAAAUUAAGUUAAAAUUCCAAACAUAUUCCGUUGACUGGCUGCGUUAAUAACAGUGUAUAAGAGACGAUUUAAUUAAACAAGUCAACGGGACUUUUGAUUCAAUGCUACGUGCAGCCAUUGCAUCACCAUGUCCUUUCAAACCAAAUUUAUAAGAUGAAACCCUGCGUGCAAGCGCAGGAAUUAAUACUCUACACAUUAAUAUGAUACACAUUAAUAUGAUACAAUGCUUAAUAUGCUGAACCAUAUUUUUUUCUCAUUUUUGUAUAUAUUUUGUCUGGCUGUUUUUAAAUUGAUGCUCACUCCUCCUAGGCACCUGAUCCUAGCUCUAUCUUUUUGGAGGUCCUUAUUACUCUGCUUUGAGUGUAUUUAGUGUUAUGGAUUUUUAAGAUGAUUCACGGUUUGUUAUUGUUAUUUUCUAAUUCUCUUAACUUAUUCAUUAAAUUUGAUUUAAUAAAUUCCAAUUGCAUAGUUGGAUAUUUAAAGUAGCGGACAGGGAUAAAAAAUCUAUCCUCUCUCGCAAGUGUUUGCAAAUGUUCAGAUUAUCUGUUUUGAAACGCCCCCUCUACUGCUUCAAGUUUCAAUACACAACCCAAAAUAGAAAGUCUACGAGGAUUUUGCAUUGCACCAGCCAUGAAAUAGCCCGGAUAAUUACUUUGAAAAAUUGUGCGAGUGAGUUAUGGUAAUAGCCUAUAUGUAUAUAACACCUUCCAAGGUGUAUAUAGAAAUUUACAAAACUAAUCAUUUAAAACAGAUUCACAAAACUAAUCACUGAACACAACAAUUUUCAGAAAAAUUUACUAGAUAACCGAUGACUUAUAAAUAUUCAUGUGAUUACUUAUUCAAAAUGUUUGUGUUGUUGUCUAAAUGACAAUUACAUGUUUAUGAGUAAAAUAUGCAGUGAAGUUUAAAGAUUUUAAACUUUUUUGGUUCUGUAUACUAAUUUGUCAUUUCAUUUUUUAUCAAAAAAUUAUAUGAACUUGUGUGUAAAUUACGAUCAGUAAAUUAUUUAUUUUUUCUUUAACCUUUUUCAUGGAAAUGGCUCUUCAAGCACAGUAGGAAGGGUCAUGAAGAAACAGGAUUUAGUCCAUUCAGCGUGUUUAAACAUUGGAUAUAAUAUACCUACCUGACGUUAGAGAUGACUUGGAACAUGUGCAGUGACUAUACCUAUUGCACACUCCCACUCAACCCAAACACUUCGACAUUUUUCGGGAGCAUCGUAGUCAUCAAACAAUUAUAUAUGACAAAUUCAUCAGAUUCCUCAAGAAAGACCAAAAUUUAGUCAUGGGACUCUUCUAUUUUGCAUCAUGACGAAGUGAUUCUUGUAGCUGUGGAUACCCUGAAUCCAUGUUACUUCUCAAAUUUCUAGGUGAUCAUUGCUCUCUUUUCUACCAAAUCUGACAGUUGCCAGAGUGAAACCGUCCUUCAACUGUCAUGGAUAGUCCUCUUCUCCAAGUCUGCGCUUCGAAAUAUUCUUACCGGAACCAUGGUUCUUCUUUUCAGGUCUUCUGUCACCAUUUUUACUAGGUCUUUAUUCACUUUUUUCCUCAGUUUUCCCACGGAUAUUUCUAUAGAUAUAAAAUGAUAUUUUUAGCAAAGAAGAUGGGUGAAUAAGGCUUGUAAAAUGCCCAUAUGAGGAAUGAUUAGAUACUGCAAAAUUAAAAUAUCAUUAAAUCUGAUUG